rfam:Citrus sinensis cultivar Ridge Pineapple sweet orange scaffold00094_contig_65, whole genome shotgun sequence.
GUGCUUUAGGGAUGAACAAGUCCCUAAAAUUUAAUUUUUUAUCCAUCCCAUUCACUUUGUCAGCAGUCUCUUUCCGGGUUGCUUGCUGAUCAUUUGAGGGUGGGAAAUUU